rnacentral:rRNA from 1 species
AUUGAACGCUGGCGGCAUGCUUUACACAUGCAAGUCGAACGGCAGCGCGGGGCAACCUGGCGGCGAGUGGCGAACGGGUGAGUAAUAUAUCGGAACGUACCCAGAAGUGGGGAUAACGUAGCGAAAGUUACGCUAAUACCGCAUACGAUCUACGGAUGAAAGUGGGGGACCUUCGGGCCUCAUGCUUGUGGAGCGGCCGAUAUCUGAUUAGCUAGUUGGUGAGGUAAAGGCUCACCAAGGCGACGAUCAGUAGCUGGUCUGAGAGGACGACCGGCCACACUGGGACUGAGACACGGCCCAGACUCCUACGGGAGGCAGCAGUGGGGAAUUUUGGACAAUGGGCGCAAGCCUGAUCCAGCAAUGCCGCGUGAGUGAAGAAGGCCUUCGGGUUGUAAAGCUCUUUUGUCAGGGAAGAAACGGGACUGGUUAAUACCUGGUCCUAAUGACGGUACCCGAAGAAUAAGCACCGGCUAACUACGUGCCAGCCGCCGCCGUAAUAC